rnacentral:rRNA from 1 species
UACAGAGGUGGCAAGCGUUGUUCGGAAUUACUGGGCGUAAAGGGCGAGUAGGCGGCCUUCUAAGUCAGACGUGAAAUCCCCCGGCUUAACCUGGGAACUGCGUCUGAUACUGGGAGGCUUGAGUAUGGGAGAGGGAUGUAAAAUUCCAGGUGUAGCGGUGAAAUGCGUAGAUAUCUGGAGGAAUACCGGUGGCGAAGGCGGCAUCCUGGACCAUUACUGACGCUGAAUCGCGAAAGCUAGGGGAGCAAACGGG